rnacentral:rRNA from 1 species
CCUACGGGAGGCAGCAGUCGGGAAUAUUGCGCAAUGGAGGAAACUCUGAUGCAGCGACGCCGCGUGCAGGAAGAAGGUUUUCGGAUUGUAAACCGCUUUAGACAGGGAAGAAACAAGAAAGUACCUGCAAAAUAAGCUCCGGCUAACUACGUGCCAGCAGCCGCGGGAAUACGAAGGGGGCAAGCGUUAUCCGGAUUUAUUGGGUGUAAAGGGAGCGUAGACGGGUAGUCAAGUUGGAUGUGAAAUCCCUCGGCUUAACUGAGGAACUGCAAUCAAAACUAACUUUCUUGAGUGCAGGAGAGGAAAGUGGAAUUCCUAGUGUAGCGGUGAAAUGCGUAGAUAUUAGGAGGAACAUCAGUGGCGAAGGCGGCUUUCUGGACAGUAACUGACGUUGAGGCACGAAAGUGUGGGGAGCAAACAGGAUUAGAUACCCGGGUAGUC